AGGAUGAACGCUGGCGGCGUGCCUAAUACAUGCAAGUCGAACGAGGUCUUCGGACCGAGUGGCGAACGGGUGAGUAACACGUUGGUACCUACCCCGAAGUGGGGAAUAACUGCCCGAAAGGGUGGCUAAUACCGCAUAAUACCGCAAGGUUAAAGCAGUAAUGCGCUUCGGGAGGGGCCUGCGUCCCAUUAGCUAGUUGGUAGGGUAAUGGCCUACCAAGGCGACGAUGGGUAGCUGGAUCGAGAGGUUGACCAGCCACACUGGGACUGAGAUACGGCCCAGACUCCUACGGGAGGCAGCAGUAAGGAAUCUUCCACAAUGGACGAAAGUCUGAUGGAGCAACGCCGCGUGCAGGAUGACGGCCUUCGGGUUGUAAACUGCUUUUAUAUGGAAGAUUAUGACGGUACCAUAUAGAAUAAGGACCGGCUAACUACGUGCCAGCAGCCGC
rnacentral:rRNA from 1 species